UUCUUCUUCUUCAUUGACUAUUGAUUUAAAUCUACAGUAUAUUCUCACAAACGAGCCCUAAAUGUAUAUGUAUUCAAGCUUCUUGUUUUAUUUUGUAACUUGUUGUUCCAUUCUCAGAUGGUGUGUGGUUCUUUGAUUAUGUUUAUGGAACGAUUUUGGGCCCUAAACCUCACGACGAUGAAUAAAGAAAAUCUCGGUGUCAACUAUGGACUCGGUUGUUAACCAAAAUAACAUAAUGACCUAACAUCGUGUAUUGGUUUUCUGUGAUAGAUGUCAAUGACUGUUAUUUGAUGGAAUAUUGGUGAAAUUAAUGUGUGAAAUUUGCAUGUGGAUCUUAUAAGCAGGUAAAAAAAAAUUGUUGGCUAACUUCAGGUUUGGAGAAAACGAAUGGCCCAGGCAAUUGGACCUGGAGAACACCAGAUUAUAGAGUAAAUUACACGAAUGGUCCUUAUGGUUUAGGGUAAUUUGCACGUUUGGUCCCUAAAUUGUUUUUUUAACUCGGAAGGUCCCUACUGUUUGUUUUUGUUACACGCUUGGUCCCUGUCUUACCUAAAAAAACUAUUUUGCCCUUGAUUUUUUAAAAUAU